UCCAUUUAGACUUUGUGGAUCAUCUUUAGUGGAGGUAAUUCUCUCUCUCUCUCUCUCUCUCUCUCUCUCUCUCUCUCUCUCUCUCUCUCUCUCUCUCUCUCUCUCUCUCUCUCUCUCUCUCUCUCUCUCUCUCUCUCUCUCCAUUAUCUAUCUUGGUCGCUUCCAUUAAAAUCUUUCUUAUAUUUUCUCCCUCUCAGCAACAGCUUUCUCCCUCUCUGUUCCGUCCUUCUUGGCUCGGGGGCCUCUUAAACAAGGCGUCACAGUGCAGGGAGGCGUUAACAUGAGCCCAAUCAGAGUGGGAUGGACGCAGGAGAGGUUUGAAUUUAAUCUGGGUUUUGAUGACACAAUAUUAACUAUAUCCUGGGAUUGGUAUUAUAAGACACUUUCGCUUCUCAUGUCAACUAUGUUCCGUAUUUCUGAAGGUCAAAGAGGGGGCAAUCGGGUUCUAAUGAGUGUUUCUUCAUGUUCAUGGUACAGAGGAAGGGUCACACUACCACCUGGUCAUAAAACUAUACUCCUGGAAAUGUCAAAGACUCCUAGGAAAGCCUUGCCAAAUAUGUGUUUCUUCAUGUUCAGGGUACAGAGGAAGGGUCAAACUACCACCUGGUCAUAAAACUAUACUCCUGGAAAUGUCAAAGACUCCUAGGAAAGCCUUGCCAAAUAUGUGUUUCUUCAUGUUCAGGGUACAGAGGAAGGGUCAAACUACCACCUGGUCAUAAAACUAUACUCCUGGAAAUGUCAAAGACUCCUAGGAAAGCCUUGCCAAAUAUGUGUUUCUUCAUGUUCAGGGUACAGAGGAAGGGUCACACCACCACCUGGUCAUAAAACUAUACUCCUGGAAAUGUCAAAGACUCCUAGGAAAGCCUUGCCAAAUAUGUGUUUCUUCAUGUUCAGGGUACAGAGGAAGGGUCAAACUACCACCUGGUCAUAAAACUAUACUCCUGGAAAUGUCAAAGACUCCUAGGAAAGCCUUGCCAAAUAUGUGUUUCUUUAGGUUCAGGGUACAGAGGAAGGGUCAAACUACCACCUGGUCAUAAAACUAUACUCCUGGAAAUGUCAAAGACUCCUAGGAAAGCCUUGCCAAAUAUGUGUUUCUUUAGGUUCAGGGUACAGAGGAAGGGUCAAACUACCACCUGGUCAUAAAACUAUACUCCUGGAAAUGUCAAAGACUCCUAGGAAAGCCUUGCCAAAUAUGUGUUUCUUUAGGUUCAGGGUACAGAGGAAGGGUCAAACUACCACCUGGUCAUAAAACUAUACUCCUGGAAAUGUCAAAGACUCCUAGGAAAGCCUUGCCAAAUAUGUGUUUCUUUAGGUUCAGGGUACAGAGGAAGG